GUAGGUGGCAAGCGUUGUCCGGAAUUAUUGGGCGUAAAGCGCGCGCAGGUGGUUCUUUAAGUCUGAUGUGAAAGCCCCCGGCUCAACCGGGGAGGGUCAUUGGAAACUGGGGAACUUGAGUGCAUGAGAGGAAAGUGGAAUUCCACGUGUAGCGGUGAAAUGCGUAGAUAUGUGGAGGAACACCAGUGGCGAAGGCGACUUUCUGGCCUGUAACUGACACUGAGGCGCGAAAGCGUGGGGAGCAAACAGGGAUUAGAUACCCUGGUAGUCCACGCCGUAAACGAUGAGUGCUAAGUGUUGGGGGGGUUUCCGCCCCCUCAGUGCUGCAGCUAACGCAUUAAGCACUCCGCCUGGGAGUACGGUCGCAAGACUG
rnacentral:rRNA from 1 species